ACGGAGGGGGUUAGCGUUGUUCGGAAUUACUGGGCGUAAAGCGCGCGUAGGCGGAUUAGUCAGUCAGAGUGAAUCCAGGCUCAACCCUGGAACUGCCUUUGAUACUGCUAGUCUUGAGUUCGAGAGAGGUGAGUGGAAUUCCGAGUGUAGAGGUGAAAUUCGUAGAUAUUCGGAGGAACACCAGUGGCGAAAGGCGGCUCACUGGCUCGAUACUGACGCUGAGGUGCGAAAGCGUGGGGAGCAAACAGGAUUAGAUACCCGCGUAGUCC
rnacentral:rRNA from 1 species